UGAGUAACCUGCCCUUAACUCUGGGAUAAGCCUGGGAAACUGGGUCUAAUACCGGAUAUGACUCCUCAUCGCAUGGUGGGGGGUGGAAAGCUUUUUGUGGUUUUUGGAUGGACUCGCGGCCUAUCAGCUUGUUGGUGAGGUAAUGGCUCACCAAGGCGACGACGGGUAGCCGGCCUGAGAGGGUGACCGGCCACACUGGGACUGAGACACGGCCCAGACUCCUACGGGAGGCAG
rnacentral:rRNA from 1 species